GGGGAUUUAGCUCAGUGGUAGUGCACCUGCCUCACAAGCACAAGGUCCUGAGUUCGAUUCCCAGUCCCCC
rfam:Heterocephalus glaber contig107801, whole genome shotgun sequence.